rnacentral:rRNA from 1 species
CAAGGAGUAUUGUGCAAUGGGCGAAAGCCUGACACAGCGACGUCGCGUGGGGGAUGACGGCCCUCGGGUUGUAAACCCCUUUUCCCAGGGAAGAAUAAUGACGGUACCUGGGGAAUAAGUCACGGCUAACUACGUGCCAGCAGCCGCGGUAAUACGUAGGUGGCGAGCGUUAUCCGGAUUUACUGGGUGUAAAGAGGGUGCAGGCGGCCUUUCAAGUCGAGUAUAAAAUCUCCCGGCUUAACUGGGAGGGACUAUUCGAUACUGUUGGGCUCGAGGGCAGCAGGGGGAGGUGGAAUUCCCGGUGUAGUGGUGAAAUGCGUAGAUAUCGGGAGGAACACCAGUGGCGAAGGCGGCCUCCUAGGCUGUUACUGACGCUGAGGCCCGAAGGCGUGGGGAGCAAACAGG